rnacentral:rRNA from 1 species
GUACACUCCUGCGGGAGGCAGCAGUGGGGAAUUUUGGACAAUGGGCGAAAGCCUGAUCCAGCAAUGCCGCGUGUGUGAAGAAGGCCUUCGGGUUGUAAAGCACUUUUGUCCGGAAAGAAAUCCUUGGCUCUAAUACAGUCGGGGGAUGACGGUACCGGAAGAAUAAGCACCGGCUAACUACGUGCCAGCAGCCGCGGUAAUACGUAGGGUGCGAGCGUUAAUCGGAAUUACUGGGCGUAAAGCGUGCGCAGGCGGUUUGCUAAGACCGAUGUGAAAUCCCCGGGCUCAACCUGGGAACUGCAUUGGUGACUGGCAGGCUAGAGUAUGGCAGAGGGGGGUAGAAUUCCACGUGUAGCAGUGAAAUGCGUAGAGAUGUGGAGGAAUACCGAUGGCGAAGGCAGCCCCCUGGGCCAAUACUGACGCUCAUGCACGAAAGCGUGGGGAGCAAACAGGAUUAGAUACCCUGGUAGUCCCA